AGAGUUUGAUCCUGGCUCAGAUUGAACGCUGGCGGCAUGCCUUACACAUGCAAGUCGAACGGUAACAGGUCUUCGGAUGCUGACGAGUGGCGAACGGGUGAGUAAUACAUCGGAACGUGCCCGAUCGUGGGGGAUAACGCAGCGAAAGCUGUGCUAAUACCGCAUACGAUCUACGGAUGAAAGCGGGGGAUCGCAAGACCUCGCGCGGACGGAGCGGCCGAUGGCAGAUUAGGUAGUUGGUGGGAUAAAAGCUUACCAAGCCGACGAUCUGUAGCUGGUCUGAGAGGACGACCAGCCACACUGGGACUGAGACACGGCCCAGACUCCUACGGGAGGCAGCAGUGGGGAAUUUUGGACAAUGGGGGAAACCCUGAUCCAGCCAUGCCGCGUGCAGGAUGAAGGCCUUCGGGUUGUAAACUGCUUUUGUACGGAACGAAAA
rnacentral:rRNA from 1 species